UACGGGGGGGGCAAGCGUUGUUCGGAAUUACUGGGCGUAAAGCGCACGUAGGCGGAUAUUUAAGUCAGGGGUGAAAUCCCGGGGCUCAACCCCGGAACUGCCUUUGAUACUGGGUAUCUCGAGUCCGAGAGAGGUGAGUGGAAUUCCGAGUGUAGAGGUGAAAUUCGUAGAUAUUCGGAGGAACACCAGUGGCGAAGGCGGCUCACUGGCUCGGUACUGACGCUGAGGUGCGAAAGCGUGGGGAGCAAACAGG
rnacentral:rRNA from 1 species